rnacentral:rRNA from 1 species
ACUCCUACGGGAGGCAGCAGUGGGGAAUAUUGCACAAUGGGCGCAAGCCUGAUGCAGCCAUGCCGCGUGUGUGAAGAAGGCCUUCGGGUUGUAAAGCACUUUCAGCGGGGAGGAAGGCGAUACGGUUAAUAACCGUGUUGAUUGACGUUACCCGCAGAAGAAGCACCGGCUAACUCCGUGCCAGCAGCCGCGGUAAUACGGAGGGUGCAAGCGUUAAUCGGAAUUACUGGGCGUAAAGCGCACGCAGGCGGUCUGUCAAGUCGGAUGUGAAAUCCCCGGGCUCAACCUGGGAACUGCAUUCGAAACUGGCAGGCUUGAGUCUUGUAGAGGGGGGUAGAAUUCCAGGUGUAGCGGUGAAAUGCGUAGAGAUCUGGAGGAAUACCGGUGGCGAAGGCGGCCCCCUGGACAAAGACUGACGCUCAGGUGCGAAAGCGUGGGGAGCAAACAGGAUUAGAAACCCGUGUAGUCCCAUGA